rnacentral:rRNA from 1 species
AUCAACUUUCGAUGGUAGGAUAGAGGCCUACCAUGGUGGUAACGGGUAACGGGGUGUUAGGGCACGACACCGGAGAGGGAGCCUGAGAAACGGCUACCACAUCCAAGGAUGGCAGCAGGCGCGCAAAUUACCCAAUCCCGACACGGGGAGGUAGUGACAAUAAAUAACAAUACGGGGUUCUUUAGGAUCUCGUAAUUGAAAUGAGUACAAUUUAAAUCUCUUAACGAGGAACAAUUGGAGGGCAAGUCUGGUGCCAGCAGCCGCGGUAAUUCCAGCUCCAAUAGCGUAUAUUAAAGUUGUUGCAGUUAAAAAGCUCGUAGUUGAAUUUCGGGGCUAGUAGGUUGGUCAUGCCCCCGGUAUGUACUGAUCUCACUGAUUCCUCCUUCCUUAUGAACCGUAAUGCCAUUAAUUUGGUGUUGCGGGGAAUUUGGACUGUUACUCUGAAAAAAUUAGAGUGUUUAAAGCAGGCUAACGCUUGAAUACAUUAGCAUGGAAUAAUGAAAUAGGACGUUCGAUCUUAUUUUGUUGGUUUCUAGGAUUGACGUAAUGAUUAAUAGGGAUAGUUGGGGGCAUUAGUAUUCAAUUGUCAGAGGUGAAAUUCUUGGAUUUAUUGAGGACUAACUACUGCGAAAGCAUUUGCCAGGAUGUUUUCAUUAAUCAAGAACGAAAGUUAGGGGAUCGAAGACGAUCAGAUACCGUCGUAGUCUUAACCAUAAACUAUGCCGACUAGGGAUCGGAUGAUGUUAAUUUUUUAAUGACUCAUCUCG